rnacentral:rRNA from 1 species
GAUGAACGCUGGCGGCGUGCCUAAUACAUGCAAGUCGAGCGAACAGACGAGGAGCUUGCUCCUCUGACGUUAGCGGCGGACGGGUGAGUAACACGUGGAUAACCUACCUAUAAGACUGGGAUAACUUCGGGAAACCGGAGCUAAUACCGGAUAACAUGUUGAACCGCAUGGUUCAACAGUGAAAGACGGUCUUGCUGUCACUUAUAGAUGGAUCCGCGCCGCAUUAGCUAGUUGGGAAGGUAACGGCUUACCAAGGCAACGAUGCGUAGCCGACCUGAGAGGGUGAUCGGCCACACUGGAACUGAGACACGGUCCAGACUCCUACGGGAGGCAGCAGUAGGGAAUCUUCCGCAAUGGGCGAAAUCCUGACGGAGCAACGCCGCGUGAGUGAAGAAGGUCUUCGGAUCGUAAAACUCUGUUAUUAGGGAAGAACAAAUGUGUAAGUAACUAUGCACGUCUUGACGGUACCUAAUCAGAAAGCCACGGCUAACUACGUG